GACGAACGCUGGCGGCGUGCUUAACACAUGCAAGUCGAGCGGAAAGGCCCUGCUUUUGUGGGGUGCUCGAGUGGCGAACGGGUGAGUAACACGUGAGUAACCUGCCCUUGACUUUGGGAUAACUUCAGGAAACUGGGGCUAAUACCGGAUAGGAGCUCCUGCUGCAUGGUGGGGGAUGGAAAGUUUCGGCGGUUGGGGAUGGACUCGCGGCUUAUGAGCUUGUUGGUGGGGUAGUGGCUUACCAAGCCUUUGACGGGUAGCCGGCCUGAGAGCGUGACCGGCCACAUUGGGACUGAGAGACGGACCAGACUCCUACGGGAGGCAGCAGUGGGGAAUAUUGCACAAUGGGCGGAAGCCUGAUGCAGCAACGUCGCGUGCGGGAUGACGGCCUUCGGGUUGUAAACCGCUUUCGCCUGUGACGAAGCGUGAGUGACGGUAAUUGGUAAAGAAGCACCGGCUAACUACGUG
rnacentral:rRNA from 1 species